GACGAACGCUGGCGGCGUGCUUAACACAUGCAAGUCGAACGGAAAGGCCCUGCUUUUGUGGGGUGCUCGAGUGGCGAACGGGUGAGUAACACGUGAGUAACCUGCCCUUGACUUUGGGAUAACUUCAGGAAACUGGGGCUAAUACCGGAUAGGAUCUCCUGCUGCAUGGUGGGGGUUGGAAAGUUUCGGCUGUUGGGGAUGGACUCGCGGCUUAUCAGCUUGUUGGUGGGGUAGUGGCUUACCAAGGCUUUGACGGGUAGCCGGCCUGAGAGGGUGACCGGCCACAUUGGGACUGAGAUACGGACCAGACUCCUACGGGCGGCAGCAGUGGGGAAUAUUGCACAAUGGGCGGAAGCCUGAUGCAGCAACGCCGCGUGCGGGAUGACGGCCUUCGGGUUGUAAACAGCUUUCGCAUGUGACGAAGCGUGCGUGACGGUAAUGGGUCAAGAAGCACCGGCUAACUACGUG
rnacentral:rRNA from 1 species